rnacentral:rRNA from 1 species
UACGGAGGAUGCAAGCGUUAUCCGGAAUGAUUGGGCGUAAAGAGCUCGUAGGCGGUGUGUCACGUCGGCCGUGAAAACCUGCAGCUUAACUGUGGGCGUGCGGUCGAUACGGGCAUCACUGGAGUUCGGCAGGGGAGACUGGAAUUCCUGGUGUAGCGGUGAAAUGCGCAGAUAUCAGGAGGAACACCGGUGGCGAAGGCGGGUCUCUGGGCCGAUACUGACGCUGAGGAGCGAAAGCGUGGGGAGCAAACAGG